GGCCACGGGGCGGGCGUUGGGGAGAGCGAUUCCCACCCUGCCUCGUUGCCAUUUCUUAUUGAUGUCAGAUGGUCUUUUAUUUUUUUGCUAUGGUCUGCUGUCUGCCCGAGGCCCAAGUGAUGACUGAAUAUGAGGAAUCUGAGAUCAUUGAUGUGCAGAACAUUUUAUCAGUGCACCUUUAAAGGAAAAACAAAAAAAAGCCCAAGCAAAAGCUGGACCAAAUAAUUCUUUCUAGAACAGAAAGUGAUAUUCUUUCUGGUUAGAUUUAGUUAACUUUGCCCAGUUAAAAAUUGUUAUUUAUUCACUGAUGAAUGGCAUAUAGCUUUUCUGGUAAUGCAGUUUGUUCAAAUUGGUAAAGUUGCGCAAAAAUAUCAUUUAACUUGGGUAUCCUUGAGCAUUUGCAUCUUUUAUGUUAUCCCUGGCAUUGAUACUGAUGAGCUCUUUCACUAUUAUAUUUAUUAACUUGUAGUUAUUAGUUUCAUUCUAUUAUUAUUAUUAUUAU
rnacentral:misc_RNA from 1 species